GAGAGAAGAGGAGGAGCUUGGCCUCGUCAAUUGUGCGCUUUUGUAUCCGGUGGCAUUCGGCCAUGGUCCUCCACAUGCGUGCUAACCUACACCAACAAUGUGACCAGGAGAUCUUAUCACCGUUUGUAGAACAACAGUGCAAUGCAUGAUUCCUCUAUUCCAUUGCUGCUACUUUCUUGGUCGUCAUUUAUUGAACUGGAAGAAGCUUGAAGGAACCUAAACGAAGAUGAGCGCGAAGAUGUUGAACGAAGCAAAGCAGCUGGGUUCAACAUUCUAAAAGCUGUACCAGAAGUUGGAACUUAGAAUUCAGUUUGAGGUAAUGCUCCAGAUCCCAGAGCUUGGAGAAACAAUCAAUAAAAGGAAAUCAUAGAUAGAAAUAAUAGAGUUAACAUUAUUACAUCCAAAUGGGGAAGAAGAUGGUUGAGCUGUGCUAACUUCCAGAAUCACAGAGAGCUCAUCAGCAAAAUUACAAAUUCUGGUGAAUUGAGCUUCCACAUCCUUCAUGACCUCUCCCAUGCUUAUUGGUCUUCUGUUCACAUACACAGUGAAACCAGGAGUUUCUUGCGGGCCAUUUCUAUUUCCACUAAUUCCUUGAUCAUUGUUGACCUCAAGUUCCACUGCAUUGCUAGUUUCUGACACUUCAGUAGUCUGCACACCUUGCGAUCUCAGUUCCUUUGUCUCAUUCACAUUAUCUUUCUUCCCGUCGGUUCCUGCUGCUCCUCCACCGGCAACCGUCUUGGCAAUACGCUUCGAAUAAAUUCUAGGAAUCUCUGAUUUAAUUGAUACAUUCCGAAUCUCCUCAUGAUCCUCAUCAUCGUCCUCUUCUUCCAGUUCAGGUAUCCCUUCUUGCUGUCGAACUUUCCUUAGCUGAUCAGAAUCCUCAUCAAGCAAGACAUCUUCUGAAUUGUUUCCGUAGGGAUAUCCAUAUGAAUUCAGAGAUGAGAAAGGGUUCCAAAAGAAGUCCAUCUGUGAAGCCUGAGGCGAUGCAGGUGGGUAUCUGGGUCUUGCGUAUGGAGAGGAGUAUGAUGAUCCCAUGGUUGCAGCCCCUGCAGGAGCAUAGCCAUCAAAACCAGAAUGACCUGUAGAAUAAUUAUACUCAGGUCUCACAGUUUCCACUGGCUCGGGCCAUUCCUCGACAGAAAUUGAUGGACUCCACCCUGCUUUCAUGUAAUGCACUGCAGAAAAAGUGUUUCUUCGAGAGUGGUUCUCUUGUGGUGCAAAUAAUUUCCUUGGAAUCAUGGCGAUAUCCGGGUGUACUUCUCUUACAGAUUGCGGUGGCAUUGGCGCUGUCGUGAAAGAAGCCAAGAAGAACUGAAGCUCAUCGUCAUCAACAUAACGACACAGAGCAACAGCAACUCCCUUCAGAGAUCGUAUAUACGCUACGUGCACAUAUGCAAGCUGGUUUCUCUGCUCGAUAGCUUGUUUGAUGAAAUUCUUCCUGUCAUGGCAAAGGCGAACGGCAUCCUCAUUCUCCAACUUUGAGGUAGAACAUCCCAUCUUCUGCAAACCUCCCUAAGAAUUUUUCAGGCCAGAGUCGAACCCAGACUCAAUACAGAAAAGCCAUCGAUGUUUGACAAAAGCUAUACGGUUCAGAAUCAGUUUCCGAUACAUCUGAAAAACAAAUUGGAAAAAACUCUGAGCAAACUAAUGCAAGAAAGGCAUAUUUUGAGGAGAAGGAACACAAGUGUUCUCGAUAGAAGCUAUCAGCUUUAUGGGCUUAGGAAGGGAAACCGUGUGCCAAGACAUCAGAUUCCAAGCUUGCUCCUCAAGUUAGCCACACAAACUUACAAGGAGAUGGCAGCGCCUACAGAACUCUGCUUAAUUUUAUUUCUACUGAAAUGAGGAGAAGAGAAGACAAAGAUCAUCUCGUCGUUGUCGUAUGCUUUUAGAGAAAUUUGAAAAUUCAGAUCAUCGUCAAACCUGAGUCAGGGCACUCGAGAGGAUGGGGAUGCCUGUGAGUUCAAGGAGCUGCCUCUAGCACACUGCUCGGAAUGAAGCUGUUCAUGUUAGGGAAAACCACACUGCUUGGUUGGAGACAAGCCUUUUAUGAAACAAAAGGAACCUUGUAGAGGAAGAAGGAGCUGCUGUUUAUUAUCUCUUCAUAAUUCACUGAAGCUGAACCUUCACGAGGAAGAAGAAUGACACAACACUUUGCCAAACUCACUUUCCUGCUAAUCCAUUGCAGCAAAGGAGAUAAAGAGUGCAAACCCAUUGGCAAGGUAAGAUUUGGUGUAAUCUGUGAUGGAUUAGUGAUACUGAUCUGGGACUUUAUGAGAUGCUCAGUGUUUUGCAACAUGGCUUGAAAGAUAGACAUGCGCUGGGAAUUUUAGAAAGAUAAAAAAAGGUUGGUCGUGGACAGAAAGCAAAAGGAAAGCAGGAGGUAAGAUGCGGCACCGUCCUCAAAUUGUUAAAAUAAAGUUUGCUGAUGCCACCAAAUUCUGGAUUCGUCCAAAGUGCCCUCAAAACUCAGCGAUUUCUCCUCUCGUUUCUUUACUCCUCAAGUCAAAAAAAAAAAAAAGCAUUUUGGGUCUUCACUGCUGAGGAUGAAGAUUAAUAUGAUGAUAUAUAUUGUAGAUAAGUCAACAGCAGGGAGGACCAAUAUUGUCAAAACGGCAUCUGUACUGGAAAGGUAUUCUAUAGAUUGUAGUAAAAAAGGAAAAAAGAAACUUCAGAUUGAAGGAAAAUAAUAGUGAUGUUGGGAUUAAUCUUUAUGCUCUGUCUAAUGCAAGGUAUGUGGAUUGAGGAAUGAAAGGAA